AGUGAACGCUGGCGGUAGGCCUAACACAUGCAAGUCGAACGGCAGCACAGUAAGAGCUUGCUCUUACGGGUGGCGAGUGGCGGACGGGUGAGGAAUACAUCGGAAUCUACUUUUUCGUGGGGGAAAACGUAGGGAAACUUACGCUAAUACCGCAUACGACCUACGGGUGAAGGCAGGGGAUCUUCGGACCUUGCGCGAUUGAAUGAGCCGAUGUCGGAUUAGCUAGUUGGCGGGGUAAAGGCCCACCAAGGCGACGAUCCGUAGCUGGUCUGAGAGGAUGAUCAGCCACACUGGAACUGAGACACGGUCCAGACUCCUACGGGAGGCAGCAGUGGGGAAUAUUGGACAAUGGGCGCAAGCCUGAUCCAGCCAUACCGCGUGGGUGAAGAAGGCCUUCGGGUUGUAAAGCCCUUUUGUUGGGAAAGAAAAGCAGCAGGUUAAUACCCCGCUGUUCUGACGGUACCCAAAGAAUAAGCACCGGCUAACUUCGUG
rnacentral:rRNA from 1 species